rnacentral:rRNA from 1 species
GUGAGGAAUUUUCCGCAAUGGGCGAAAGCCUGACGGAGCAAUGCCGCGUGAAGGAUGAAGGCCUAUGGGUUGUAAACUUCUUUUCUCAGAAAAGAAUUAUGACGGUAUCUGAGGAAUAAGCAUCGGCUAACUCUGUGCCAGCAGCCGCGGUAAGACAGAGGAUGCAAGCGUUAUCCGGAAUGAUUGGGCGUAAAGCGUCUGUAGGUUGUUUAAAAAGUAUUCUGUCAAAGAUUAGGGCUUAACCCUAGAUAGGCAGAAUAAACUUUUAAGCUAGAGGUUGGUAGAGGCAGAGGGAAUUCCCGGUGGAGCGGUGAAAUGCGUAGAUAUCGGGAGGAACACCAAAGGCGAAGGCACUCUGCUGGGCCAAUACUAACACUGAGAGACGAAAGCGAGGGGAGCAAAUGGGAUUAGAUACCCCGGUAGUCC